CCCUGUCUGCAAUCCUCCCUUUCAGUAAGCCCCAGGACCGAGGCGUUGAGGUGGCGUGAAUUCGGCGUGCCCUGUCUGCAAUCCUGCAUUUCAGUAAGGGGCAGUAAGGACAAGAUCCACCCACCACCCAGUGCAUGCGUGCAUAUGUGUGUGUAAUAAAUUGAGAGGGAAAGUGUGUGUGAUAAAUGAAAUUUAAUAAAGUAAGUAAAAUUUUGAAUUUGUGCUUCUUUUCUGAAAUACAUUAGUACAAGGUUUUGAUUUUUAGAUAAUU